CCUACGGGUGGCAGCAGUGAGGAAUAUUGGUCAAUGGGCGGGAGCCUGAACCAGCCAAGCCGCGUGAGGGAAGAAGGUACAGCGUAUCGUAAACCUCUUUUGUCAGGGAACAAAGGCGGGGACUAGUCCCCGGAUGAGGGUACCUGAAGAAAAAGCAUCGGCUAACUCCGUGCCAGCAGCCGCGGUAAUACGGAGGAUGCGAGCGUUAUCCGGAUUUAUUGGGUUUAAAGGGUGCGCAGGCGGCCUGUUAAGUCAGCGGUCAAAGCCCGGGGCUCAACCCCGGCGAGCCGUUGAAACUGGCAGGCUGGAGUUGGAGAGAAGUACGCGGAAUGCGCGGUGUAGCGGUGAAAUGCUUAGAUAUCGCGCAGAACCCAGAUUGCGAAGGCAGCGUGCCGGCUCCACACUGACGCUGAGGCACGAAAGCGUGGGUAUCGAACAGGAUUAGAUACCCGAGUAGUC
rnacentral:rRNA from 1 species